rnacentral:rRNA from 1 species
GCCUCCGCACGUGGGUUCUAGCGUGCCCGACCUCCCACCCGUGUUUACUGUACCUUAUUUGCUUCGGCGGGACCGCCAUUCAUGGCCGCCGGGAGCUCUCAGCCCCGGGCCCCCUCCCGCCGGAGACACCACGAACUCUGUCUGAUCUAGUGAAGUCUGAGUUGAUUGUAUCGCAAUCAGUUAAAACUUUCAACAAUGGAUCUCUUGGUUCCGGCAUCGAUGAAGAACGCAGCGAAAUGCGAUAACUAGUGUGAAUUGCAAAAUUCCGUGAAUCAUCGAGUCUUUGAACGCACAUUGCGCCCCCUGGUAUUCCGGGGGGCAUGCCUGUCCGAGCGUCAUUGCUGCCCAUCAAGCACGGCUUGUGUGUUGGGUCGUCGUCCCCUCUCCGGGGGGGACGGGCCCCAAAGGCAGCGGCGGCACCGCGUCCGAUCCUCGAGCGUAUGGGGCUUUGUCACCCGCUCUGUAGGCCCGGCCGGCGCUUGCCGAACGCAAAUCAAUCUUUUUCCAGGUUGACCUCGGAUCAGGUAGGGAUACCCGCUGAACUUAAGCAUAUCAAAUAAGGCGGAGGAAA